rnacentral:rRNA from 1 species
GGCCGAAAGGCGUAGUCGAUGGGAAACAGGUUAAUAUUCCUGUACUUGGUGUUACUGCGAAGGGGGGACGGAGAAGGCUAUGUUGGCCGGGCGACGGUUGUCCCGGUUUAAGCGUGUAGGCUGGUUUUCCAGGCAAAUCCGGAAAAUCAAGGCUGAGGCGUGAUGACGAGGCACUACGGUGCUGAAGCAACAAAUGCCCUGCUUCCAGGAAAAGCCUCUAAGCAUCAGGUAACAUCAAAUCGUACCCCAAACCGACACAGGUGGUCAGGUAGAGAAUACCAAGGCGCUUGAGAGAACUCGGGUGAAGGAACUAGGCAAAAUGGUGCCGUAACUUCGGGAGAAGGCACGCUGAUAUGUAGGUGAAGUCCCUCGCGGAUGGAGCUGAAAUCAGUCGAAGAUACCAGCUGGCUGCAACUGUUUAUUAAAAACACAGCACUGUGCAAACACGAAAGUGGACGUAUACGGUGUGACGCCUGCCCGGUGCCGGAAGGUUAAUUGAUGGGGUCAGCGCAAGCGAA